AUGUCAAAAUCAUUUCUCAAUUGAUGACUAACCUGGAAUAGAGUAAUAUCGAAACUAGUUAGUUAUUUCAACACAGUAACAUUUCAGAACCUAACCAACACACGGAGACAACUUCCUGCCACGAGCGUUUCGCAAGAUGAGAACCGAGACAAGGUAGUCACAGUUUGGAUGGUGGAUUUCUUAUCCAAGACUAUUCAGGACAUUCACAAGGACAGAGGGAAUACAGCGCAUACCUGCAAUCCUUACAUCAUAGCGGUGGGGGCAGGUGUUUUGAUCAAGAGAGACCUUUAGAAAAUAUGCACAUUUUCUCUAACACUAGACAAACAAAUAUGUAUUUAACAGUUAUAAGGAAGGUGAAAUAUUAUAGUAAGAGGUUUUAUAAUUUGAUUAUACUACAUUUAGAAAGCAUAUGUCAUUUCAAGCCAUAUUCAUACAGUUUUGUUGAAUAGGAUAUACAUCAUAUAAAAUAUUUCAUAUUUUCCUCAAUUGUACUGUGUACUUGAGCUUGUGUCUUCAAAAUUGACUACACCUGAGCAAUUUCUAAAAACAAUUACCAGAAAGGUGAGAUUUUAACCUUUCUUGGGAGUAUGAUGCAUUACUAGUUACUGUUUAUUGUUCUCUCAUGAUUAAUAAUGACUUUUGGAGAUGAUGUAAAUUACAUUUUAGAUUACAUGUAGUUACUUUACUACUGAUGACACUGCCUUGAUCAGCCUGUUGCAUGCUGACGAGGAACACCAUGGCCCAGUCCUAAAUGACUUUGUAGAGUGGUGUAACAAAUCACACUUGGUCCUCAAUACCAACAAGACCAAAGAGAUGUGCGUAGACUUAAGGAAGCAUACACCACCUACCUCUGCAACAUCUAUAAGAGGUCAGAUCAUAGAGAUUGUAGAGAAAUACAAAUAUCUGGGUGUCGUCUUGGGCAAUAAGCUUCAGUAGAGUAAAUGUGCAGACCUGAUCUACAAAAAGGGUCAGAGACUAUACUUUCUCAAAAAGCUGGGAUCUUUUAAUGUUGACUGUGCUAUACUGAAUCUUUCAUUGAGAUUAUUAACUUUUUGUAUUGUUUGUUGGUUUGGCAAUGCCACUGUCAGCAAGAGAAAUAUGCUGAGAAGGAUUAUCACCACAGCAAGCGAGAUACUUGGAGUCAAACAGACAGGUCUGGAUGAGAUCUUUAAGUUCAGGGCCCUCUGCACAAAAUCAUUUUAGAACAAGCCACCCGAACUUUCAACUAAUCCUCUCUCGGUGUUGGUAUAGGGCACCCCUCGGCAGGAAAACAGAACUAGACAAUAAUUUGUGCCAGGUGUGAUAUUCCUCCUAAAUAGCUUGGGCUAAUGUUCCUAUCGACCCAGUAAGGCCAGCAGGCUAGUCUCUUUUUAUUUUUAUGUAACUGUUAUGAAAGAAUAUAUUGUCAAUUUGUUUUCUAUUUAAACAACACUUUAAACAUGUACAUGACACUGUUUUGGACAAGACUGACUUUAUCAAAAUGAUCCUGUUUACACUUUGUCGUCAAUUUUAAUACUAGAAUAAAUGUUUCUGUCACGCCCUGGUCGAAGUAUAUUGUGUUUGUCUAUAUUUAUUUGGUCAGGCCGGGGUGUGACAUGGGUUUAUUGUGGUGUGUUUUGUCUUUGUUAGGUAUUGGGUGUGUGGCUUAGUGGGGGUAUCUGCCCACUAAGGGUAUCUGCCUCUAACCCUAGGAAGCUCUUUGCCACCUUCUCCUCCCUCCUGAAUCCUCCUCCCCCCU